rnacentral:piRNA from 1 species
UCUCCCUGGACAGAUUAGCUACAACUGACU